GCAGGCGCGAAACCUCUACAAUGCUCGAAAGAGUGAUAGGGGAACUCCGAGUGGCGUCAGCUCAGCUGGCGUCUUUUGCCCAAGUGUAAAUAGCUUGGAGAAUAAGGGUGUGGGCAAGACUGGUGGCAGCCGCCGCGGUAACACCAGCGCCUCAAGUGGUACCCACGAAUACUGGGCCUAAAGCGUUCGUAGCCGGUCAAGUAAGUCUUCUGUGAAAUAGUGAGGCUUAACCUCACUGCGCGCAGGAGAUACUGCAUGGCUUGGGAACGGGGGAGGUCAGGAGUACACCCGGGGUAGGGGUAAAAUCCUUUGAGCCUGGGUGGACUACCAGUGGCGAAGGCGCCUGACCAAAACGUGUCCGACGGUGAGGAACGAAAGCUGGGGGAGCGAACGGGAUUAGAUACCCCGGUAGUCCCAGCCGUAAAUGAUGCAGACUGUGGUGUUGCGUCAGAGUUAAUCUGCCGCAGUGCUGUAGCGUAGGUGUUAAGUCUGCCGCCUGGGGAUACGCCGCAA
rnacentral:rRNA from 1 species